CCCUGCCAUUUGUACACACCGCCCGUCGCACCUACCGAUUGAAUGGUCCGGUGAAAUCUUCGGACCGUGACUUUGUCUUGUUCACUCAAGACGCUGUUACGGGAAGUUGAUUAAACCUUACCAUUUAGAGGAAG
rnacentral:rRNA from 1 species